rnacentral:lncRNA from 1 species
CAGGCCAUAAAACACGCCUUUGCAAUAUUGAUUCAUGAUUCAAGUCUUUCCCCUUCACUAACCCCCAAUUUCAUUUCAUUUCCUCUCCUACAAUCUCCUUCCAAUAUGAGAUUGAAACCCUUAAUCCCCCAAAUCGAAACCAAGCCAACAAUUGAAAUAGAAAUCCCUAAAUCCCCUGAGCCCAAAAUCAAGAAUUUCGCUCAACCAAUGUCCGUUCGGGCUUUAUUGAUUGUUGAAAGAGACCAAUCGAAAGUGAAGAAGCCAUAGCCAUUUCACUUCAGUAGUUUGAGCAAAUAAACGGACAACAGGUAACUCCCUAACUUGUUUUUGUGUUUUCUUGGGUGCGAUGAAUUUAGAUAUGUGAUGAAAAUUACAUAGAUAAACUUGUUUUGUGCUGAAGCCACACCCAUUUCAUUUUUGUACUUGAUGCAAACCCCGUAGCCACUUAGACUACAAAACCCACAACUAGAUUGAUGUGGAACCCAAGAACGCCAAUUGAUAACUAGUUUGAAUUUGAACCCAACAAGAUGAAACAAAGAAUCCAAAGAUAACGGUGAUGCAAUGGACCCCUUGCUUACAAAUUGAAGAACCCACGAUCCGGUGUUGAACGCCACAAGGAGUUAUCCUUGAUAAGUUCUAAAUUAUUAUUCAAAGAAGAACAAAUUGGAAGAAAGCAAAAGUCUCUCUUGUAUUCAAUGAUAAUUGCCAAAAAAAAAAAAAAAAUACAUUUACAAUGUAAUGGAGAGAGUAUUUAUACUAAAGCUAAAAACCUAGCUAAAAUCGUGCAAAAUCUUCAAAGUAUGGAAAAAAGUCUAACUGACAUCAAAUUCUAACAAAAUAAGGAAAUUCGCGGAAAAAGGAAAAUUCUGCCUAAUUUUUUUGUACUAUGCGGUCACAUGAAAGAAACUGUCACCCCUGGAGAAAACCCUACAUGGGUCUGUGCGGCCGCAUGGUUGUUACUCUGGCUUCUGUCUUCGUCCGCUUGUAUUGAGUUGAUCCACUUUGAUUCGACUUUCGACCCGAAUACGAAACUUGUCCCAUUUUGAGUUUCGAACAUCGUUCCAUCAAUGGUUUCUUGAACAACCAAUCCAUCGCGUGUUUCACUUGCUUUGCUCUCAAUCGCUUCAUCGAUCCGCCUUCGAUAAUCAACGGGUCUCGACUCGAACUCACCGUCUUCAAGCUUGAUUCUUGGAUCACAACAUCUUCUCCCUCUUCAAAAGGAUUCUUCCUCGAAUCUGCACCUGCAUCGAAAAGGGAAAGAUCAGUAACGUUAAAUGUAGCCGAUACAUUAUAUUCACCUGGUAAGUCCACUUUGUAGGCAUUGUCAUUGAUCUUCUCGGUGACUUGGAAAGGACCAUCUCCUCGCGGUUGCAAUUUGGACUUUCGCUACUCCGGAAAACGUUCUUUCCUGAAAUGCACCCACACCCAAUCUCCGGUUCAAAUGUCACACGCUUCCGCCCUUUCUUUGCCUUUGAUGCGAUGAGAUUGUUCUUCUCUUCAAUUUGCGUACAGACUUUCUCAUGAAGUGCCUUCACCAUCUUAGCUUUUCUCUUACCAUCCAUGUUAUCUCGUUCAUUCACAGGCAAAGGAAAUAAAUCCAAUGGAGUUAGUGGAUUAAAACCAUACACAAUUUCAAAAGCUGAAUAAGAAGUAGUCGAAUGUACAAAACGAUUAUAAGCAAACUCAAUAAAUGGCAAGCAAUCUUCCCAAUUCCUUAAGUUCUUAUUAAUCACUGUUCGAAGCAAUUGAGUCAUGGUCCUAUUUACUACUUGAGUUUGACCAUCCGUUUGUGGCUGACAAGUUGUAGAAAAUAACAAUUCAGUUCCUAACUUAUUUUACAAAACACGCCAGAAAUGACUAAAAAAUUUAACAUCUCGGUCCGACACAAUACUCUUAGGGACUUCAUGCAAACGUAUUAUUUCCCUAAAUAAUAAAUCAGCAAUGUUAGUAGCAUCAUCGAUUUUGUGACAUGGUAUGAAGUGUGCUAUUUUACUAAACCUAUCAACCACUACAAAGAUAGAAUCCCGACCUUUCUUUGUCCUAGGUAACUCCAACAUGAAAUCCAUAGAAAUAUCCACCCAAGGUUCACUAGGUACAGGUAAAGGUGUAUACAAGCCAUGGAGUAAAACUUUUGAUUUAGCUUGUUUACAAGUUAUGCACUUCUCACAAAUCCGUUCUAUGUCACUAUGCAUUUUAGGCCAAUAAAAGUGUUCCCUUAACAUGUCUAAAGUCUUUUGAAUCCCAAAAUGACCCAUUAGACCCCCACUAUGUACUUCCCUUACCAAUAAUUCACGCAUUGAACAAUUUGGAAUGCGUUGCUUAUUCUCCCUAAACAACUAUUUUUCAUGUCUAUAAAAUUUGUCAACAGCCAUUUUAGCACAUGAAUUAUAAAUGUUUGAGAAAUCAAUGUCAUUUUCAUACAUGCUCUUAAUAUGCUCCAAACUAAGUAAUUUCGCACUUAAAGAGCUAAGAAGCACGACCUUCGCGACAACGCAUUUGCAACUACGUUUUCAUUACCUUGCUUAUACCUGAUGACGUAUGUAAACGUCUCUAUGAACUCCAUCCAUCUCUCAUAUCGCUUGUUCAACUUACCUUAACCCCGCAAGUACUUUAAGGAUUCAUGAUCGGUGUGUAUCACGAACUCCUUAGGCCACAAGUAAUGUUGCCAAAUCUCCAAUGCUCGAACAAGGAAAUACAACUCCUUGUCAUACGUUGGGGUAGUUUAGUACAGCUCCACUCAACUUAUCCCUAAAGUAAGCAAUAGGUCUCCUUUUCUGCAUUAACACUGCUCCAAUACCUAUCUCUGAUGCAUCACACUCAAUCUCGAACGUUUUAUCAAAGUUAGGUAAUGCCAAAACAGGUCCUAUACACAAUUUAUCCUUAAUGGUAUUAAAUGCAAGUUCUUGUGUUUCCCCCCAGUGAUAACCUACGCUUUUCUUAAUGAUUUCAAUUAAUGGUGUCGUGAUUGUGCUAAAAUCUCUCACAAACCACCUAUAAAAUCUAGCCAGAUCAUGGAAGCUCCUAACCUCAGUUAUAUUUUUAGGUGUUGGCUAUUCUUUAAUAGCUUUAAUCUUUUCCUCAUCCACUUUUACCCCAUUAGCACUAACAACAAAUUCUAGGAAAACAACUCUAUCUAUACAAAACGUGCACUUUUUUAAAAUCAGCAUAUAAUUGUUCAUUUCUUAACACAACAAGCACGCACUUUAAAUGUUCUAAAUGCUCACCUAGGUUUUUGCUGUAGAUUAAAAUGUCAUCAAAGUAACUACAACAAAUUUUCGUAUGAAAGCUCAUAAAACAUGGUUCAUUAAACACAUAAAUGUGCUCGGUGCAUUUGUGAGACCAAACGGCAUAACCAACCACUCAUAUAACCCAUAUUUAGUUUUAAAUGCUGUUUUCCAUUCAUCACCCUCACGCAUGCGAAUUUGAUGGUACCCUCUCUUAAGAUCAAUUUUACUAAAAAACACAAGCACCAUACAAUUCAUCAAGAAUAUCAUCUAGCCUAGGAAUAUGGUGACGAUACUUUACCGUAAUGUUGUUGAUAGCUCUGUAGUCCACGCACAUUCGCCAAGUCUCAUCCUUUUUUGGCACCAAUAGAACAGACACAGUACACGGGCUCAUACUCUCCCUUACGUAACCUUUGUUUAUCAACUCCUCCACUUGUCUCUGAAGCUCCUUCAUCUCCUCGGGAUUGCUUCGGUAAGCUGGUCGAUUUGGAAUGACAGCCCUGAGUAUAAAGUCGAUUUGGUGCUCGAUCCUCGAACUGGUGGCAAUCCAUUUGGCACCUCCUCCGAAAACACAUCUUUGAAAUCCUGUAAAAAAGACUUAACCAUGCUAGGGAGGAAGGUGUUAGACUUCUCAAGGGACAGGAGAGACUCCUUGUAAACUAACAACAACACUUGUCUCUUAUCACUCAAAGCCUUUUUUAAUUCACUCCCCCUCGCAAAGAAGUUCACUUUUGGAUUUUCUCUCCAUUCAGCUAACUCUUUUUCUCUUCGCUCAACUAACCCUUUUUCUCUCCACUCAACUGACUCUUUUUCUCUCUUCUCAUAUGGCCUUUCUCUCUUCCUUCCUUCUCGGUCAUCUCGCUGUUUUCUCUCUUACUCACAGGCUCACUAUCUUCUCUCCUUUUUGUAGAUUCUCUCGCUCGCCUUUCUUCCUCAUUUCUCAGUUUUAUUUGGUCUUCAUACACCUGAGCCGGUGUUAAUGGCGCAAGAGUAAUGGACCUCCCAUCUUUGACAAAGCUAUAUUGGUUCCUAUACCCAUCAUGUGUAACCUUCCUAUCAAAUUUCCAGGGUCUCCCUAAUAAGAUAUGACCCGCUUGCAUAGGCACGACAUCACAUAUAACCUUGUCACUAUAUCUCCCAAUUGAGAAAUUAAUUAACGCCCAUUUAUUUACCCUAACUUUCCCACUCUCAUUCAACCAAUUUCUAAGUUCUAGGGUGUCUCAAUAAUGCUAAACCUAAUUUAUCAACUAAAGUUGUGCUAGCCACAUUUGUGCAACUCCCACCAUCAAUAAUCAAGCUACAUACCUGAUCGUGGACGUGGCACCGAGUGUGGAAUAUAUUUUCUCGUUGCUGCUCCGAAUCAUCUGUCUUGAUCUGAGUGUUAAGUGCUCGCCUCGAGACCAGCAACUCCCCAAUGGCAAAUUCCAUCUCAUCUUCAUCACCAACAUCCUCCAAUACGGGCAUGUCAUCAUACUCUCCUUUGCUCUUACUUACCACCUCUCCAUUAUCCCGCAACACCAUGAUUCGUUUGUUUGGACACUAAGAUUCAAUGUGUCCCGUCCCCAAACACCUGAAACACUUAAUAUCUCGGCUUUGUGAUGGUUGUGGCUCCGAUUUUUGCGCUGUCCUACUAGCACUUUCUUCUUUCUCCUUCUGCCACUCACUUCUUCCUCUGGAUAUUGCUUCACUCCCCUUAUUAUUAUCAUCCCACUUCGACUUCCAAUUUGGGUUAGAAGACGAAGUAUUAAUCGACUGUCUCACAGUCCCCUUCCUCUUCAGUUGUUUCUCCACUUUCAUGGCUACAUGCAACAUGUCUUCCAGCUCCACGUAAUGCUACAAUUCCACUACAUUAGCAAUUUCCUGAUUUAGACCAUUUAAGAACCGUGUCAUGGUAGCUUCCCGAUCCUCCAUCACAUUGCCCUGAUCAUGAGAAUUUUCAUUUCCUUGUGAUAGUCCUCUACGCUCCUCGACCCUUGAUACAGGCUCUGUAACUUCUGAUGGAUCUCCCUAUAGUAGUGGUUAGGAACGAACCGCUUCUUCAUCAACGCCUUCAAAUCCUCCUAAGUACUAAUUGGUCUUCCCCACACCGUCGUUGUGUUGUAACCACUUGAUCCCACCAGGUUAUUGCUUAAUCAAUGAAUGCUAACACCGCUACUUUUACCUUCUUCUCCUCCGAAUAAUUAUAGCACUCAAAAAUUAAUUCCACAUUCCUUUCCCACUCCAAGUACGCCUCUGAGUCACUCCUCUCCUUAAAUUGAGGAAUGGAUGUUUUGAUAUUGCCCAUAUUUCCAUCCACCUCAUCUCCGUGAUUAUUCCUACCCCGUCAUUCAAGCCUACCACCUCUAUUCCUCAUCCAUCCCAUUACCACUUCUCCAUACUCCUCAUCAUCCCAUUCACUGUCCAAAUCAAAUGUUUCACGUUCCAUCUUAUAAUCCCGCUUCCCCGGCCUCCUACCAUUAGAUAUCUCCGCCCGCGACUCCCUACUAAGAUCAGCCACUGAUGUAUCCAUCCUCGUCAUCCAAACUUCGUGCUUAGCCCUCCAAGCAUCUUGUUGAUCCAGCUUAUCUCUAACAACCCCAAAAGCAAGUUCAAACCACUGUAUCAUAUCCUACGAUAUAUUGUUGUGAUAGUCGUGUCGGCUUGAGUUGGAACCUUCUUGUUCAGACAUUCUCUCAAUUUCUGCCUCACCAAAUUUCACUCGAAAUCACACAAUUGGCUUUUACCUUCUAAUGAGCUCACCACUCUACCUUUUACUACUCAAUGCUUUCACUAAGAGCUUUUAAGAAUAAUAACGAACUCACCGGAUUAAAACUUGGGGAUUCAACCCGAAACGUAAGUCAAGAGGAUAAUUUUCAAGGGAUUUGAAAACAAAUAGAAUGAAAUUUGAAUGGACUCACUAAAUUUCAACGGAUCAAUUGCCAAAAUUGAAGAAUUGAAGAAAAAAGAACUUUGGACUUUAGGAAUUUGAAUGUGAACUUGUUGGUAGCAAUCAAGCAAUUAAUAAUUUUUUUUUUUACGUGAACAAUAACUUUUUUUUUUAAUAUCCGGAUGAACAAUAACUUUUUUUUAAUACAAGAGAUUAUACUACCAACAAAAAAUACGGAUUGAAGGAAUGAAUUGAAGAAUGACUCAAGAACAAGGAAGAAACUUGGAAAUCAAGAAAACUACAACACAAACAAGAAAAUUAAAGAUAGAACCUGAUUAAAUUGGGACCAAAGCUCUGAUGCCAACUGAUGGGAACUCCAUAGCAACUUAGACUAUGAAACCCACAAAUAGAUUGAUGCGGAACCUAAGAACGCCAAUUGAUAACCAGUUUGGAUUUGAAUCCAACAAGAUGAAACAAAGAACCCAAAGAUAACAGUGAUGCAAUGGACCCCUUGCUGACAAAUUGAAGAACUUACGAUCCGGUAUUGAACGCCACAAGGAGUUAUCCUUGGUAAGUUCUAAAUUAUUGUUCAAAGAAGAACAAAUUGGAAGAAAGCAAAAGCCUCUCUUGAAUUCAAUGAUAAUUGUCCAAAAAAAGUCCUUUACAAUGUAAUGGAGAGAGUAUUUAUACUAAAGCUAAAAACCUAGCUAAAAUCGUGCAAAAUCGUCAAAUUAUGGAAAGAAGUCUAAUUGAUAUCAAAUUCUAACAAAAUAAGGAGAUUCGCGGAAAAAGGAAAAUUCUACUGAAUUUUUUUGUACCAUGCGGCCGAAUGGUGCAUUUCCAUGUGGUCGCAUAGAAGAAACUUUUACCCCUUGAGAAACCCUGCAUGGGUCUAUGCGGCCGCACCACUUUAAAACCAUGCGGCCGCUUGGUUGUUACUUUGGCCUCCGUCUUCGUCCGCUUGUAUUGAGUUGAUCCACUUUGAUUCGGUUUUCGACCCCAACACGAAACUUGUCCCAUUUUGAGUCUCGAACAUCGUCCCAUCAAUGGUUUCUUGAACGAGUAAUCCCAUCACUUGUUUCACUUGCUUUGCUCUCGAUCGCGUCAUCAGUCCGCCUUUAAUAAUCAAUGGGUCUCGACUCGAACUCGCCAUCUUCAAGCUUGAUUCUUGGAUCACAUCAGUACUUGUAUGCUUUUAUGAUUAUUUUGUUGUUCAUCAUUCAUAUGUUUAUGUUCUUUUGUUGUUGUUGUUAAUUUUAUUUUAUUUUAUGUUUUUUCGGUUGUCAUUCGAAUGUUUGUACUAUCCUCGUCGAGCUAUGUUUCUUUACCUAAUUACAUACAAAAUGAUCAAAUUGUACAUCCCAUUUGCCAUGUCGUUAUUUUCUUCCAUUUUUAUGGUCUAUAUGAAAGACAUACAUCAAAUGUGGAUUAAUUGCUUUGGUUCACUAUUUAAAUUUUGAUAAGUUGCAUGGAUUGUUGCAUAAUGUAGUUUAAUUGCAUGACAGAUUCUGAGGAAAAUCCGGAUUUCAUAGACCUCGACCAUGACUUUAAGUCUGAACAUGAUGACAUCGAAUAUGAAAGAAAUGUAACCGAAGGGAUUGAAAUUGGAAUGGACAGCUGUGAAGAUAAAGUUCAGGAUGAACGAGAAGAGGACACUGAUAACGAGUUCGAUGAAUUGAAACUACCAUCAACGAAGGAACUACUAUCCCAAUGUUCGUUCGAUAAGGAUGGGAAGUAUCAUUUUCGUGAAUUCUCAUUUUACCUGGACAUUAAAAAUCCUCAAUUUGAGGUAGGGCAAAUAUUUAGUUCCGCAUUAGAGUUCCGAGAGGUGGUGCGCACAAAUGGUGCAGUGAACGGAAACAAUAUUAAGUUUUAGGCAAACGAGGAAAGAAUAGUGCAAAGAAUUUGUAGACUAGGGUGCAAGUGGAGAAUAUGGGGUUAUUUGAUGCAUUCGAGAGGUUACAAGUAAAAUCUCACACUUCGGAGCAUACUUGUAGUUAGGACCAAAUCAAUAGACACUACAAUUACAUAUUUCUCACACGUCGGUAUAUUGAGCAAUUCAGGGCAGACUCACCCGCACUAAAAUACCAAUCUUAUUUUGGCAACAGAAAAGAAGGAUCUCUGACAGAUAUUAGCAUAAAUGUGACAUGGAAAUUGCGGAGAUAUGCCAAAGAAAUUUUGGUAGGGAACUUACAAGAUUAGUUUAGGCGAUUGCAUUCUUAUGCAGCCAAGAUAUUACGUACAAAUGUAGGCUCAACAGUCAUUAUUGCAUCACAAGAGCAGAUAUUUUAGGGCAUUUAUAUGUUCUUUAAUUGUUGUAAGGUAGGUUUUAGGGAUGGUUGUAGGAAGCUAAUAGGAGUUGACAGUUGUCACUUAAGGGGUUGUUUCAGAGAGAUAAUGUUAACUGCUAUUGGUCUUGACGCUAAUGACUGCAUUUAUCCUAUUGCAUACGUGAUUGUUAAGAAAGAAAAUACGGUAGCUUGGAAAUGUUUCUUCACCUAUCUGUUAGAAGAUGUUAGGAUUCAAGGUGGUAAAAGUUGGACUUUGAUGACGGACAGAUAAAAAGGUCUACAGAAUGUGAUUGAUGAGUUGUUCCCUACGGCCGAGCAUAGAUUCUGUGUAUGUCAUGCACAUGAACUUUUUAAAUGCUGGGUUCAAGAGUAAAAUUCUUCAGAAUUACUCAUAACGUGCUACCAAGUCAACCACUAUUGUCGACUACCGACAUUGGAUACAUUGAAUGGCUUAUAGAGAGGAACGCACAAGAAUGGAGUAACUCACAUUUCUCAGUUCACUCGAAGAGUGACAUUUUGCUUAACAAUUUAUGCGAACUGUACAAUAAGACCUUGGGGAGUGAUAGAGAAAAGAUGAUUCUGUCCACGUUAACUUCAAUUCAAUUGACCUUUAUGAAUAUGAUUCGAAAGUGUCGAGACACGAUGAUUAGAUGUACAAGAUGUUUGUGUCCAAAGAUAAAAAAACAUUGCACAAUAUUGCUGAGAAAUCGCGUAAUUGUACAUUGUACCAGUCUAGUGGUCCCAAAUAGCAAGUUGAACGUAACCUUUGGGCAUACGUUGUUGACUUAGAGGAGAGAACAUGUGCAUGUAGAGAAUGAGAGCUUACAGGCAUACCUUAUAUGCAUGCAAUGUCAAUGAUCAGAAAUAUAGAAAUGAUCCAGAAAAAUUCGUUCACAUCUGCUACGAUCGAGACCUAUAUGAGGUGCAGCAGUUGUAUCAUGCAUCCAAUUAACGGUAUGCGCUUAUGGCUACAGUUGGAUAUGGUUGUUAUCACUCCACCAUCUUGAACUUUACUGCGAAAGGGAAAGAGACAAAUAAAUCAAAGAAAAUGAGCAGAUGAAGAGGUGAUAUUACAUUCGCAAGAGAAAAGCUAUCUAAGGAGAAAGGGACGUCUGACAAUGGCGUAUUCAUCAUGCGGACUGCAAGGUCACAAAAAGUAAUACCACUCUAGGCCGGAUGCAUAUGAUUCUAUGAGUAUGAUACUAACUAUCUAUACCUCUUUGUUCGAUGACUGACUCACGAUGUUGAUUUUUUGUUUAUAGGAUUUAUUUGAAGGCAAUUUAGAACCAGUUGGCUCACAUUGUGAUAGAACG